UUGUGGAGGCCCGGCGGGUGUGAUGGCGUCCGCCCGGCGUGGCCGCCGUUGCGCUUUGUGCCUUUCCGGCCUGGUCGUGUUGUGUGUGGGCGUUAAAGGCGCCCGAAGCGAUUUGGCAGUGAGUGUCGAUGUGCUGUUCUGGACCCUCCUGUGCGGGUGAUGUCACCAUGACGUGAUGACCUCACAGAUGCCCUGGGGUGGGGCAGGGGCAGUGGGUCAGCGCGGAACCUGCUGGCCCCAUUCUGCGGGUGGUGCUGGUCCAGCGAGGAGCUGUGCGAGUGGUGCAGUAAUGCGGGCCCAGUGUGUCAGCAGAAGAUUAAGGGCGGUGUGGCGUGCGAAGCUGGUGGAGGAGGAGCUGCUGGCUCAUGCGGCCGUGGAGAAGUGCAAGGCCGUGGCCAGGGAAUCCUUGAUGAAGGAUGCCCAGAAAUUACGGGCAGAAAGAACAGCUGCCAGGAAAGAGAAGCUGAAGCAGGAGAAGCAUCUCGUUGCCCAGCUGGAAGAGCAGCUGCAGGCUGAGACAGAGGAGAUGGAGGUGCUGCGCCAGGAAAAACAGCACCUGCAAGAGGAGCGGGAGGAGCUGGAGCUGGAGGGUGCCUGGCAGCAGCAUCAGCUGGAGCUGGAGGCAGCCCACGUGCCUGGGGCUGUGCUGCCGAAGCUGGUGGAGGCAGAGCUGGAGAAGAAGGAGCAGGCGAGGAGACGAGGGCUCGCCUUCUGGAUGAAGACAAUCUGCCUCAUCUUCGUCAGCCUCCUGCUGCUGCUCGUUGCUGUGCUGGGCUCUGCAGUGCUGUACGCCCAGCACUAUGACCAGGAGCUGUUGUAUCGGCUCCUGCUGCGAGUGCUGCCCCAGGCAAUGUACGCUUCCCCGGCGUACUUUGCGAGCAGGAGCCUGCGUGUCGUCUGUGAUGGGCUGCUGCCCAUCUGACCGCCCCUCUCAGUCCCCCCUCCCAGCUCGGGGCUGCGCAGUGGUGGGGUGCAGGGAGAGAGCUCUGUCCCCACGGAAGGGGCCUCUCCUGUGCUCCUGCCCCCAGGGGCGCACAGGCACAGCUGUGGGGCAGUGCCGGCAGGCGGCUGAGUGCUGGGACUUUGGACUUACAAAUAAGUUGGUACUGUCGUCGUCAACUGAACACCACCACCUCCGACGACCCAUCAGACUGAAGAUGUGCACCUGACGCCAGGACGUGGCUUCUUGGAUUCUUUGAGUCUUCGUAGCAGCCAUUUCCUUCAGCUGGUUACCUGUAAGGCUUAUGAAUUGUAAUUAGCCCAUUAGGCAAUGUUACCUCCAGUGGGCUGUUGUCAGUUGUUAAGAAUGCUGUCAAUAAAUGGAUGUGUAUUAAUCCU
rnacentral:lncRNA from 1 species